rnacentral:tRNA from 1 species
ACCUCGAUAAUGCAAUGGUUCAGCACGGCAGACCGGAUACCUGUAAGUGCAAGUUCGAGUCUUGCCUGAGAUU